AGUUGCUAUAUUGACCUCAGGCUGUAGAUGAGUAUAUUUAAAAUUAAUAAUGCAUCUCAAGUUUACUUACCAAUGGUUGGCUUGAGCUCAAACGCAACAAGCAAAGAAAUAACUUGCACAAAGCUUUUGCGGUCCAUUGGCUUGACAUUCUUGAAACAUUGAUGCCAUUGUAAUUGCUAAAUCAAGUUGAUACUUUAACAUGAGUUACAUGGAUCUGAUGUUUUACAUUACUUGUGGGGUGCAAUUGCAGGUUGAAAAUUUGCAACCUUCAUUCCAAGGAAGUGCCAGAUAUAGAAACACAUGGGAAGGUCUUACUACUAUUGUUCAUAAUCAAGGAUGGAGACAAUUGUUUGCAGGUCUAAGCAUUAACUAUAUAAAGAUUGUUCCUUCUGUGGCCAUUGGUUUCACUGCGUACGACAUGAUGAAGUUUUGGCUCCGCAUCCCACCUCGACAGAAGACUCAAUCAAUAUCUGCUGCCUAAUUCCUUUGGAAUAAGACCAUAAAUGCAACUUGGUUACAUGGGCUGUGCAAUCCAGAAUGACGCACGAUCUAUAGAUGCAAGUAAUCAACAAAGGUGUCCUCAAAAUAAUACUCUGAUUGUCUUAGUUAAUGAUUAGUAAGAUAUGGUGAACUAAGUGGGUCCAAGCUGUAAACUUGGAGUCUUGAGUCUGUUGAGAUUCUAUUUAUAUUCAAAGCAGUGUGCUUGUUUUAUUGGGGAGAAAAAUAAUUUUAUAUGUAAAAAUUUGUCCUUUUUAAAGUUGUUUAAUCAUAUGGCAGGAAAAAGUUAUUUGAUUUUU